rnacentral:rRNA from 1 species
ACGGAGGGUGCAAGCGUUAUCCGGAUUUACUGGGUUUAAAGGGUGCGCAGGCGGAUAUGUAAGUCAGUGGUGAAAUCUCCGGGCUUAACCCGGAAACUGCCGUUGAUACUAUAUAUCUUGAAUGCCGUGGAGGUAAGCGGAAUAUGUCAUGUAGCGGUGAAAUGCUUAGAUAUGACAUAGAACACCUAUUGCGAAGGCAGCUUACUACACGGAGAUUGACGCUCAUGCACGAAAGCGUGGGGAUCAAACAGGA